rnacentral:rRNA from 1 species
CAGCCGCCGCGGUAAUACGAAGGGGGCUAGCGUUGUUCGGAUUUACUGGGCGUAAAGCGCACGUAGGCGGAUCCUUAAGUCAGAGGUGAAAUCCCAAGGCUCAGCCUUGGAACUGCCUUUGAUACUGGGGAUCUCGAGUUCGGGAGAGGUGAGUGGAACUGCGAGUGUAGAGGUGAAAUUCGUAGAUAUUCGCAAGAACACCAGUGGCGAAGGCGGCUCACUGGCCCGAUACUGACGCUGAGGUGCGAAAGCGUGGGGAGCAAACAGGAUUAGAUACCCGAGUAGUCCCUGUCUCUUAUAA